AGAGCACUCCUACGGGAGGCAGCAGUGGGGAAUAUUGCUACAAUUGGGCGCAAGCCUGAUGCAGCCAUGCCGUCGUGUAUGAAGUAAGGCCUUCGGGUUGUAAAGUACUUUCAGCAGUGAGGAAGGUGGGUAUGUUAAUAGCAUACUCAUUUGACGUUAGCUGCAGAAGAAGCACCGGCUAACUCCGUGCCAGCAGCCGCGGUAAUACGGAGGGUGCGAGCGUUAAUCGGAAUUACUGGGCGUAAAGCGCAUGCAGGUGGUUUGUUAAGUCAGAUGUGAAAGCCCGGGGCUCAACCUCGGAAUUGCAUUUGAAACUGGCAAACUAGAGUACUGUAGAGGGGGUAGAAUUUCAGGUGUAGCGGUGAAAUGCGUAGAGAUCUGAAGGAAUACCGGUGGCGAAGGCGGCCCCCUGGACAGAUACUGACACUCAGAUGCGAAAGCGUGGGGAGCAAACAGGAUUAGAUACCCUGGUAG
rnacentral:rRNA from 1 species